rnacentral:rRNA from 1 species
AGAGUUUGGAUCCUGGCUCAGGAUGAACGCUGGCGGUAUGCUUAACACAUGCAAGUCGAACGGAGUGCUUCGGCACUUAGUGGCGGACGGGUGAGUAACACGUGAGAAUCUGCCUUCAGGCCUGGGACAACAGGGGGAAACCCUUGCUAAUACCGGAUGUGCCCUUGGGUGAAAGAUUAAUUGCCUGAAGAUGAGCUCGCGACUGAUUAGCUAGUUGGUGGGGUAAAGGCCUACCAAGGCGACGAUCAGUAGCUGGUCUGAGAGGACGAUCAGCCACACUGGGACUGAGACACGGCCCAGACUCCUACGGGAGGCAGCAGUGGGGAAUUUUCCGCAAUGGGGGCAACCCUGACGGAGCAAUACCGCGUGGGGGAGGAAGGCUCUUGGGUCGUAAACCCCUUUUCUCAGGGAAGAACACAAUGACGGUACCUGAGGAAUCAGCAUCGGCUAACUCCGUGCCAGCAGCCGCGGUAAUACGGAGGAUGCAAGCGUUAUCCGGAAUCAUUGGGCGUAAAGCGUCCGUAGGUGGUAUUUCAAGUCUGCUGUUAAAGCCCGGGGCUCAACCCUGGAGGAGCAGUGGAAACUGGAGUACUGGA